UUAGGUGAUCAGGUUAGCUGGCUAAAGUCGAGCCUAAUCAUUUGGUAGUUAGAUUCGUAAGCAUGAUCGUGUAAAUAGUUAGACUAGAGGCUUGUAGAGAAGAUCAAAGUCAACUAAAAAGUUAUCUAGGGCUAAAUCAACUACUAAAAAUUAUUUGGUGAAACAAUUGGUUGAUAAACCAACCCAUGGAUGUACAUGGGUGAGCCAGCCAAAGUCAGACUCGUGUGUAGUCUA
rnacentral:lncRNA from 1 species